AGUCGAACGAUGAUGCCCACUUGUGGGUGGAUUAGUGGCGAACGGGUGAGUAACACGUGAGUAACCUGCCCUUAACUCUGGGAUAAGCCUGGGAAACUGGGUCUAAUACCGGAUAUGACUCCUCAUCGCAUGGUGGGGGGUGGAAAGCUUUUUGUGGUUUUGGAUGGACUCGCGGCCUAUCAGCUUGUUGGUGAGGUAAUGGCUCACCAAGGCGACGACGGGUAGCCGGCCUGAGAGGGUGACCGGCCACACUGGGACUGAGACACGGCCCAGACUCCUACGGGAGGCAGCAGUGGGGAAUAUUGCACAAUGGGCGCAAGCCUGAUGCAGCGACGCCGCGUGAGGGAUGACGGCCUUCGGGUUGUAAACCUCUUUCAGUAGGGAAGAAGCGAAAGUGACGGUACCUGCAGAAGAAGCGCCGGCUAACUACGUGCCAGCAGCCGCGGUAAUACGUAGGGCGCAAGCGUUAUCCGGAAUUAUUGGGCGUAAAGAGCUCGUAGGCGGUUUGUCGCGUCUGCCGUGAAAGUCCGGGGCUCAACUCCGGAUCUGCGGUGGGUACGGGCAGACUAGAGUGAUGUANGGGAGACUGGAAUUCCUGGUGUAGCGGUGAAAUGCGCAGAUAUCNNNNGAACACCGAUGGCGAANGCAGGUCUCUGGGCAUUAACUGACGCUGAGNANCGAAAGCNUGGGGAGCGAACAGGAUUANAUACCCUGGUAGUCCAUGNCGUAAACGUNGGGCACUNNNNGUGGGGGNNAUNCCA
rnacentral:rRNA from 1 species